CCCACCCACAAAUUUCUCUCCAACAAACAAAUCUAAUCUCUGCAUUAUAUAUCUCUCCCCACAACUGCAUCUUUUAUCAGCGGCGUUUCAUAAUUUCAGCACAGUUUCUUCCCUUCCAAUCAAAGUUUGAAACCAAGGAGAGCUGUGAUUUCAAUUUCCCUUGUUUGCUAGUAAACUUUGUCUUCCUUGAGGGUGAACUUGUGCACGUUGUUGCGGUUGGAACAAGAAAGUGUUGAGGAGUUAAGCAUUUGAGAUUGAGCGGCGAUGGACGUGGAGGAUGUUGAGCAGAGUUCAUGGAUCGUUUUGUCAUGAUUAAUAAUUGUUGGAUUCGUCGUGUCUUCAUACUCGGCAUUUUCCGUGUCUUGAACGCUUCCGCUAAGAGUCCUUUUCUUUAGAAUUGUUUAUCCGUGGAGAGUCUAACUCGUUGGCAAAUUGUUUUUGUCCAUUCUUUAUUUACUUAGAGUUGGUAUUAUUGUUAGGAAAUUAUUAUGACG